AUGGUGGGAAUUAUUGAUCUCACAUGUGAUUUGUCAAUGUGGUUGAUAUUCAUUGACAUUGUUUUCUCUUUAUAGUCAAGACACUUGAUGUGUAAGCAAGCUGAAAGUUGAGGAUGUGCCGGUAAUAGUUGAGAUAUUGAAAACCUGAUUCUUAAAUGUCUUCUGCUAUUCAGCGGAAGGUAUGCUUUUUCAUUUUUCUCUCACUCUUGGCAUGAAAGCUCUUCUAAAUAGCGCGUACCUGAGUAUACAGGACAUAACUCUGGAGUUGAAUGUAUUGAAAGGGGUUCUUAUUUCUGAAGGUUUUUCACAGGUUUGUGGAUUUGUCAUAAUUUUAAGACCGGAAAUUUCGCUAUCCUUGUUUUACAAACUUGUGAAGGACGUGAUAUUUAGUUGGCAGUGUUGGCGAGAUUCCCUGUUUCUUUUAAAUCUUAUGAAGGAUAACUUUAUGGCAUAUCAUCUUUCACUUAUUGGAGGACAUGUCUGUGCAGGAGCAAGUAGAAGUGGCGGUUAUAAGUACUGAUGGUGACAUUAAUGAAGCUGUGAAAGUGUUAAGAUCUUCACGUUCAUAUUUGAACUCACCACAAGAAUCAAGCCAGGUUGUUGAUUCGGUUGCAGUGACUGCCACCGUAUCUUUUUGUAAUUCAAAGUCAAAAAUGAAUAUGAAUGUGGUCUUGGUAAUUGUCAAACCCUAUGCAGAGGUUCUGUACUGUUCUGUUGACUUCCUAACCGAUUUAUUUUUCGUCAUCACUAUAACGGAAAUUUCAAACCAAACUUACCUCUUGCUCCAAAGGGAGGUAAAGAAUAUCAGAAAUAGAAUCUGACUACUCUGUCUUUUUCAGGAUUCCUAUCAUGUUGUGGUUUCCCCGCGCCGUUCGUUUGGUCAACCAAUUCCCCAAAGCUCUAGUGACCUGGCUGCUGGAUGGGAC
rnacentral:lncRNA from 1 species